GUGCUCAUUUUGGCAGCACAUAUACAAAAACUGGAACAAUACAGAGUAGAUUAGCAUGGCCCCUGUGCAUGGAUGACACGCAAAUUCAUGAAGUGUUCCAUAUUAAA